CUUGGCAUUAUUCAAUUUCUUCACCUUUUGCAACAUGUAUUAGCACUUUCCUUUCUUUUUGGCCACCUAUGCUGACGGAGCUAUCGAGAAUCAUAUAUGUGCUCUCUGUUUCGAAGACUACUAUCCAUCAUCCUCCUGUGUGAUGAUGCCAUCACGCUUUCAAAAUUCCUUUUUGUCAAAGAAGAAUCCAGCUACUUCAUCCGCCAUGAAAUUGAAAAAUCUGAAGAGAACUGGAGGAAUAUUUAGGCAAAAAUUGAAAGGAAAGGAGCUUAAAUAUAAACAUUAAAACUGUAACUAUGUUUGAUGAUAUUAAAAUGUUCACUCAUGUGCAGAUGGUAAACUUAAUCAUAUAAAUUCAUUGAGGACAUUUAGAACAUAGAGUUAGUUUCUUUUAUGGAUUUUUUUAAUUUUUUUGACCUGGAGCAACCUAGAAAUGGUUGCACAGAGCUCAAAUGAGUGCUCACCAAUAGUAGCAUCAUAGGUGAUUUAUAGAAGAUAAAAAUAAUGAUAAAAUAAAAAAGAAAACGUAAAAGUUAAGAUUAAUUUCAAAUAUUUUUACUACCAUAAUUGUUUGUAUAUAUUGAUAUCUAGCUCUGCUUAUCAUGUUAUUUGAGUUAAUUUAGUUAGAUCAUUAGUUCCAUACUUGUGGUUUUCUUUUUCUAGAUUAUGCUUUAAAUAAACAUGUCAAAGCUGCUUAAGACUCUUCCCUGGUUUUAUCACUUUUUAUCUGUAAAAGAUGAAGGAAGAAUUAGAAAAAAAAAAAAAUUCCCCUGCUCUCCGCAAAACUACUUUUUCAUCAAAUUUUCAGGAGUAGUAGCUGAAGUUUAGUUCUCUGAUUUCAUUGGUAGUUGUAGAUAUAAAUAUGGCUUAAUAACAAAUUAAUGGAAUUUUGUUUUGAUAUCCUUAUAUAUUUUUACUUACUUUACUCAUUCUUUUUUGUUUGCCUUAACUCUAAAGACGGAAGAGUAUAGUGGAAGCCCUGUUUGUUAGAAUACACUGAUAGUUUUAUUUUUUAGUCCUUUUCCUCUUUCAGGAACAAAAUGAUGCAAAAUUAUUACAAGGGAUAUGUGUUCUUAAUUCAAUCAAAGUUUCACAAAGGAAAGUUUUACAAGGGAUAUGUGUUCUUUUUUUCUGAAUUUGAUCUUGUUUCUGAUUUUUGAAUGAAAGUUUAUUGUGCUUUGAUUUUUUCAAGGCUCAGGUAAAUAAUUUUUAACUUUAUAACUAGUGAAGUGUGAAUUUUUUAGGGUUCAUGAAUAAUACUUUUCAUUCAAUCUUAUAAAUGGCGAAUUGUUAGAAUUGUUAGCCAACACAAUUCUCUUCUCCCAAAGUAUUAUUUGAGUGGGAGUGUGGUAUUUUAACAUGAGCUACUAUUUUAUUUAUGCAUCAUCCUAGCUACUGAAUAACAAGACUAUCUUAUGACAAUGCAUCUUGGGUUGGGGUGCGGGGUGAGGGAAGUAAUAAAUGACAUAAUUAUUCGAGCAUGUAAUUCCUUCUAAUAUAGUACAAAAUAAAAAGGUUCCAUUACUUGUUGAUUGCUGUAUUUUUUUACCUACAAAUUAAGGAACUUAUGGGAUUAAACGGCCUUAAAACUGAUCCAGUUUGACCAAGUUAAAUGGUAUGGUAUGGUGUUUGUUGCGCAUCACGGAGCUUUAAUUUCUUUCCCUGCUUCCCAAAUCCCAAUCAUGGGCAAGGAACCUGAAACUUGGAGUUGCAACGUAAGUUUUUCUUAGAAAGCUAGAACAACAACUCUAGGUCGCUUCUCUUUUGUUCUAGAGUUCCCUACUACUGGGAUAUGAAUCUUUUUCUUAUUUCUUUUCACAAAUUAAUGAAGGCUUUGGAAGAUUUGAUCACACUAUGAAACCUUAAUUACAUGUUAGGCAUAUCCCAAAAUUUUUCAGAUCAAACAUGGUGAAUAUUCUAGCAUGGAUGCAUAAUCUUUCUUACCUUCAGGAGUCGUCCGAGUUCCCCAAUGCUUAUGAGGAAGUGUGUGGUUCAGGUAACAUUUGGGUUGAAACUAGAAAUAACACAAAUAUAAUAUCAAUAAGUGCGAGAUGAUUUGGUGUU
rnacentral:lncRNA from 1 species